AGAAUCUUCCGCAAUGGGCGCAAGCCUGACGGAGCGACGCCGCGUGGAGGACGAAGGUCGUUAGAUUGUAAACUCCUGUCACGGGUUUUGAAUGUGCAGUAGCGAAUAGUUGCUGCAUUGACGUAUGCCCGCGAGGCAGCACCGGCUAACUCUGUGCCAGCAGCCGCGGUAAUACAGAGGGUGCAAACGUUGUUCGGAAUUACUGGGCAUAAAGCGCACGUAGGCGGCGUUGUAAGUGCGGUGUGAAAGCCCACGGCUUACCCGUGGAACAGCACCGUAGACUGCAAUGCUAGAGGAUGGUAGAGGAGAGCGGAACUCCUGGUGGAGCGGUGAAAUGCGUAGAUAUCAGGAGGAACACCGGUGGCGAAGGCGGCUCUCUGGUCCGUUUCUGACGCUGAGGUGCGAAAGCUAGGGUAGCGAAC
rnacentral:rRNA from 1 species